rnacentral:rRNA from 1 species
GAUGAACGCUGGCGGCGUGCCUAAUACAUGCAAGUCGAGCGAACAGACGAGGAGCUUGCUCCUCUGACGUUAGCGGCGGACGGGUGAGUAACACGUGGAUAACCUACCUAUAAGACUGGGAUAACUUCGGGAAACCGGAGCUAAUACCGGAUAAUAUAUUGAACCGCAUGGUUCAAUAGUGAAAGACGGUUUUGCUGUCACUUAUAGAUGGAUCCGCGCCGCAUUAGCUAGUUGGUAAGGUAACGGCUUACCAAGGCAACGAUGCGUAGCCGACCUGAGAGGGAGAUCAGCCACACUGGAACUGAGACACGGUCCAGACUCCUAUGGGAGGCAGCAGUAGGGAAUCUUCCGCAAUGGUGGAAAGCCUGACGGAGCAACGCCGCGUGAGUGAUGAAGGUCUUCGGAUCGUAAAACUCUGUUAUUAGGGAAGAACAAAUGUGUAAGUAACUAUGCACGUCUUGACGGUACCUAAUCAGAAAGCCACGGCUAACUACGUG